CAACUUUCAACAACGGAUCUCUUGGCUCUCGCAUCGAUGAAGAACGCAGCGAAAUGCGAUACGUAAUGUGAAUUGCAGAAUUCAGUGAAUCAUCGAAUCUUUGAACGCACCUUGCGCCCUUUGGCAUUCCGAGGGGCACACCCGUUUGAGUGUCAUGA
rnacentral:rRNA from 1 species